CAGGGAGGUACCAGUGUCAAUGAUGGCCUGGCAGCCACCAGAGCAGGCCACAGUCUGUCCAUUGAUGGUAACACUGUGAGGAGGAACAGCAGAAGUUGGAUUACCGUUUGCUGUCAGUAUUGCAAGGGUUUUGUUUACCUCAACAGUGUCACUGGCCAGAUAUCCAGUCAUGCUGCCAGUGCCAUACUGGAUGGACAGAGGCUGGUUGCCCCAGUGGAAGGUGGAGGACUGCUGUGGGUUGAAUCUCCUGUGGUUCUCUGCAGAGGAACAACUUCUCUUUCAAACGUGCAUUUUACGACAAUGUCAAGCAACUUUGGAGCCUUUCUAGUGAUGGGAGAGCGUGAUGCAGGUUGGAUGGAUGCAGAUUAGAGACAUAACAUUUCUCCCCACCUUGUGGCUGAAGGGGUGACAUUCAUCCCCUUCCACACCCCUUGGGACGCACAUCCUCAGACCUCUCAGCCACAGACUGACGGCACAGCAAAGACCAAACCCACACUGCACAUCUCUCUCACAGGCCUGCGGGACAGACAGGGGGGAGACGAGGUGAUACAGGUACAGACAGGAGAGAAUAAAAGAGGCAGAGGGGCAGAGAGGAGGGGAGUUCUUUUUAUUUAUGCUAAUAGAGAUGCCCUUUUAUGUUUGAAUCUAUUUCAUUUUUAUUUAUCGUAAUAGAGAUGCCCUCUCAUGUUCGUACAGUGAAAGCCAUUUUAUCCAUUGCCUGUCAUCUCCCUAAUCCAUUUACAAAUGAAUAUCAAUCAGAGGACUGAGAUAAUUUCCUCUCAUUUUUCCAGUGGACUUAAAGCGGAGGAGGAUGCGGUCUCCCGUCUGUCAUGUGUAAUUAAAUUUUACAAAAUUAUCCACCAAAGCAAGCUGUCCUAUUGGCACUAAGAUCUAUUUUAUGUAUAUUUGUAAUUUGAAUAUGAGAAAAUCAAACCAAAAAUCAAAAUACAAAGGCUAGUUGUAUUAAAAUAGAGUUCAUAUAGAAGUUUUGAGUGCAAGUACAGCACCCUUCCCCUGAUAAAGAGUGGAACAAUUAGUCAAUUCAUUGAUCCGUCAGUUGCCAAUAGUUCUUUUAUCAAGCAAACAUUUCAAACAUUUGUCACCACAUGAUUCUCAGAUAUGAAGAUUUGCUGUUUUCUCUGUUUUAUAUUGUUGUAAAUUUAACAUCUUUGGGUUUUAAACGGUUGAGGCAAAACAAGCAAUUCAAAGACAUCAUCUGAGGAUCAGGAAACUUAUUAUCAGCAUUUGUUGCUAAUUUACAUGUUACAGAGUAACUUGAUUGAUAGAUUAGUUGAAAAAAUAAUGAGCAGACUAUCCAGUAAUGAAAAUAAUUGUUAACUGCAGCCAUAGUAAAUGAGUAAGUCAUUUUAUUUUGAGUGUAAAAUCACAUUGUCUCAAUACAUUUUACAAAAAAUGACAAUUACAGAAAGAAAUGAUAUCUAAUCAAGUAGAUAAGUGUAAGCAGAGUAAUUAAUCAUUGAGUGAUUAGACACUUCUCUAAAAACUGAUUGGACAUUCAUUUAAAACCUGAUAAAAUAACAGAGCAGAGUGUAGCAGAGCCCAAAACGUCUCACUCACCCCUGUGAUGACGGCUCCUCUGGACCAGCUCAGAGACACCAGGAGGAAGGACAGCAGCACCGCUGUGAAGCCCAUGACAGCAACAGGAGAACUGGACUCUCGCAACCCCCUCAACACUGGACAACAACUGUUAACGGACUCUCUGGCACUUCACACUGGAUCCCCGUCUCUCCAGUCAGUCAUGAAGGUUCCCAGUAACUCCUCAGAGGGGGGGAGCCACACUCUCUCCCUCUCUUUAUCCACCUCCGACCCCCACCCAGUACUCCCUCCCUCCUUCCUUCCCUCCCCACGUCUGAGAUCUGUCCACACCCUCUCUGACUGUCUCUUCAGACGCUUCGUCAUCUUACUCAUCUGGAUGAUGGCUGAUGGAGGGUCACCGUAGCCCUCUCUACCUGUAGAUCUUUGCCUCUUACAUAAUGUCGGGUUUGAUCAUACAUCUGCUCAAGGCAAGCAACUGACAGAGUUCCCAUGAUUCAAGUGGUUCAAACUAACCCCGAAAAUAUGGAAAACCACUCCACAACUGAUGCCAUUCAUAUGAACUAAAAUGAAUCUGACACCUCUUUGUGAGAAAAAGGGCACAGGUGCCGUGAAAUCCCGAGUUAUUUGUCAGUCAGAGGCAGCCAGGGCAAAACAAAUCAAGAUCAAAGCCGUAUAACACAUUUACUGAAAUUACCACAGGCUGACUCACAGACUGGGCUUCAUGUAAAGCAUUUAUAGGCUGGAAAGUGAUAUUCUUUAUUUCAUUAUAGGAUAUGUGUGCUAUGAUGCCAUGUACUGUGACAGCUGUCACCCUAGCUGUACAUCACCAGUUUAUCCACACUGAGAGAAUAAGGCGUUAUAAUAAGGUUACAAACUGAUCUGCUUUGUCACACAAGCUACUCUCUAAGUGCUGUGAGGUAUAUGAUGUACAGGAUCUCUUUAGUGAACAACUUAAACAUCACUGUCAACAGUGACAUGUAUUAUUUCUGUUCAGAUUUGGUCUUUUUGAGUAAAAGAAUAACUUGAUUAGGUUUGUUUCCAGGUCUAAAA